UCUUCCAUUAGAUUUAGUGUACAUGGUUUCAUGUGGAGGUCCUUGAUCCACUUGGACUUGAGCUUUGUACAAGGAGAUAAGAAUGGGUCAAUUUGCAUUCUUCUACAUGCAGACCUUCACUUAAACCAGCAUUAUUUGUUGGACAUGUAUUUUUUUUCCACUGGGUGGUUUUAGCUUCUUUGUCAAAGAUCAAGUGGUUGUAGGUGUGUGGGUUUAUUUCUGGGUCUUCAAUUCUAUUCCAUUGAUAUACCUUCCUGUUUCUGUACCAAUACCAAGUUUAGUUUUUGUUUUGUUUUGUUUGUUUGUUUGUUUGUUUGUUUGUUUUUAUCACUAUUGCUCUGUAGUACAGCUUGAGAUCAGGGAUUGUGAUUUCCCCAGAAGUUCUCGUAUCAUUGAGAAUAGUUUUCACUACCCUGUUUUGUUUUUUUUAAUGAAUUUGAGAAUUGUUCUUUCUAUUUCAGUGAAGAAUUGAGUUGGAAUUUUGAUGGAGAUUGCAUUGAAUCUGUAGAUUGCUUUCGGAAAAUGGCCAAUAUCAGGAGUCACUGGCUGUCUCAAAAUUGCAGCUAUGGUUGCCUACUCAAAUUACUAGGAAAUUGGAGCUGAGUUUGUAGCAAACGCGAAAACUAUUGUACACCAAUGUCCUGUUGCUCAGAAACACGGCUAAUGCAUAAAGGCAGUGAGAGAAAAGAUGGUUAAAAUAAAAGAAAAAUUGGAAAAGUG